GCGGUUUGGUCGUUCGUUGGGAGAGCAUCUUUUCUUUGCUCCGAGACUGCGGCUCUUCCUUGGGCGGCAGAAGCGGCGCGGCAGUCUGAUAAGUGGCCUAAGACUUCGGCGUUGGGUAAAAGAAAAUGGCUCGAACCAAGCAGACUGCUCGUAAAUCCACUGGUGGGAAAGCCCCCCCGCAAACAGCUGGCCACCAAAGCUGCCCAGAAGAGCGCCCCCUCUACCGGCGGGGUGAAGAAGCCUCAUUGCUACAGGCCUGGCACCGUGGCGCUUCGAGAGAUUCGUCGUUACCAGAAGUUGACUGAGCUGCUCAUCCGGAAGCUGCCUUUCCAGAGGUUGGUGAGGGAGAUCGCCCAGGAUUUCAAAACCAACUUGAGGUUUCAGAGCGGGGCCAUUGGCGCGCUUCAGGAGGCUAGUGAAGAGUACCUGGUGGGUUUGUUUGAAGAUACUAAUCUGUGUGCCAUCCAUGCUAAGAGAGUCACCAUCAUGCCCAAAGACAUCCAGUUGGCUCGCCGCGUACGGGGGGAGAGAGCUUAAGUGAAGGCAGUUUUUAUGGCGUUUUGUAGUAAAUUCUGUAAAAUA